CAGCAGCCGCGGGAAUACAGAGGGUGCAAGCGUUAAUCGGAAUUACUGGGCGUAAAGCGCGCGUAGGUGGUUUGUUAAGUUGGAUGUGAAAGCCCCGGGCUCAACCUGGGAACUGCAUUUGAAACUGUCAGGCUGGAGUCUUGUAGAGGGGGGUGGAAUUCCAGGUGUAGCGGUGAAAUGCGUAGAGAUCUGGAGGAAUACCGGUGGCGAAGGCGGCCCCCUGGACAAAGACUGACGCUCAGGUGCGAAAGCGUGGGGAGCAAACAGGAUUAGAUACCCCGGUAGUCCCUGUCUCUUAUAC
rnacentral:rRNA from 1 species